rnacentral:rRNA from 1 species
UACGUAGGCAGCAAGCGUUGUUCGGAGUUACUGGGCGUAAAGGGCGUGUAGGCGGUUGAUUAAGUCAGUUGUUAAAUUCCUCAGCCUAACUGAGGCCAAGCAAUUGAAACUGGUCGGCUAGAGUACAGAAGAGAGAAGUGGAAUUAUCGGAGUAGCGGUAAAAAUGCGUAGAUCUCGAUAGGAACACCGAUGGCGAAGGCAGCUUCUUGGUCUGUUACUGACGCUAAAAUGCGAAAAGCGUGGGGAGCAAACAGG